UGGGGAAUAUUGGACAAUGGGGGCAACCCUGAUCCAGCAAUGCCGCGUGUGUGAAGAAGGCCUGAGGGUUGUAAAGCACUUUCAGUGGGGAGGAGGAUUGACUGGUUAAGAGCUGGUUGAUUGGACGUUACCCACAGAAGAAGCACCGGCUAACUCCGUGCCAGCAGCCGCGGUAAUACGGAGGGUGCAAGCGUUAAUCGGAAUUACUGGGCGUAAAGGGUGCGUAGGUGGUUGUAUAAGUUAUCUGUAAAAUCCCUGGGCUUAACCUGGGCAGGUCAGAUAAGACUGUACGACUCGAGUAUGGGAGAGGGUAGUGGAAUUUCCGGUGUAGCGGUGAAAUGCGUAGAGAUCGGAAGGAACACCAGUGGCGAAGGCGGCUACCUGGCCUAAUACUGACACUGAGGCACGAAAGCGUGGGGAGCAAACAGG
rnacentral:rRNA from 1 species